rnacentral:rRNA from 1 species
UACGUAGGGGGCAAGCGUUGUCCGGAUUUAUUGGGCGUAAAGCGCUCGCAGGUGGUUCGUCGCGUCGUGCGUGAAAGACCCCGGCUCAACUGGGGAGUGUCGUGCGAUACGGGCGAACUGGAGGCCAGUAGGGGGAUGCGGAAUUCCGGGUGUAGUGGUGGAAUGCGUAGAGAUCCGGAGGAACACCAGCGGCGAAGGCGGCAUCCUGGACUGGUCCUGACACUCAUGAGCGAAAGCGUGGGGAGCGAGUCCGG